rnacentral:rRNA from 1 species
UACGUAGGGUGCGAGCGUUGUCCGGAAUUAUUGGGCGUAAAGAGCUCGUAGGCGGUCUGUCGCGUCGAUCGUGAAAACUUGGGGCUUAACCCUGAGCUUGCGGUCGAUACGGGCAUGACUGGAGUUCGGUAGGGGAGUCUGGAAUUCCUGGUGUAGCGGUGAAAUGCGCAGAUAUCAGGAGGAACACCGGUGGCGAAGGCGGGACUCUGGGCCGAUACUGACGCUGAGGAGCGAAAGCGUGGGGAGCAAACAGG